ACGAGUGUUUCUUGGUCCUGCCAGGGGAUCUGAGCGGCACACCUACAACAUCCACUAUGAAAUGUGGUGUGUGCCGGACAGGGGCUCACCGAGGAGCUAGAGAGUGAGAGUGAGGCAGGCUGUUUUAAAGAGGUGGCAGGGGAAGGUCUCUCUGAGCAAAAGCAGAGACUUUGGGUAAAGACUUGAUUGGCAUUGAGGAAGUGAGCCAUUUAAAGUCAAGGACACCAGAGGUUCUAAACAGAGGAAACAGCAAAUGCAAAGCAGAGAACAAGCUUGGCACAUUUGAGAAACAACAAUAAGUCCAGUGUGUCUAGAGCCACAAGAGUGAAGGAGAGAGCAGCUGGCGGUUCAGCCAAUGGGGUACCAGGAAAGCAGAUGGCAGAGAGCCUGGUAGACCAUGAUAGAAGCAUAUGUGACACUGCAUUCGAAUCCAGGGAAGUAUAGGGAGCAGUAAUAAAAGUGUGAAGACCUAUUACAAGUUCCUCGCAGUCAUCCAGCUGCUGAUUUUCUCCUGAGGAAUCACCCCUGUUGACUCUGGGUGGUCCUGGAAGAAGGUGAACCCUGUUCCCUGACUCCCAUCACUGAGGUCAAGGGUCUGGAGCCCUCCUCCUCCUGUCCUGGCACAACGGGGAACCCGGCAGGACAGCUGUCCUCUGGGACUCUUGAGUUCACUCACCUCAGCCACCAAGCCCUGGUGGGAGGGUUCCACCAAAGGGAAGUUCCUGGGGUUUCCUCUUCCCUCUCCAAGGGGUAGGGUUACUUCCUGUCCUCCAGCCUUCCAUGGCCUCAUUAUCUCUCCAGAUCAUCUCAUUCAAUUCUCAUUGCUCCAGUGAGCCUGGAUUGUUUUCUGUUGCUAACAACAACCAUAAAAAAAACGCCAACUGAUACUCUUCCCCAAGGUCACUUACCCAGAGCAAGGUCCAGCCUGAGAUUUGAAUUCCUACUGAGUCUCCUACAGAGGCACUGCUAUGAGCUGAACUGUGCCUUUCCCUAGGUUCAGUCCCCUGAGACCUGAGAAUGGGGGACAGUAUUUGGAUACACGGUCCUUAUAGAGCUAAUAAAGGUUAAAUAGGUUACUGGCGGGAUCCUCAUCCAAUAUAAUUGGUGUCCUUAUAAGAGGAAAUUGGGACACACAUCAGUGAGCAUUGGGAAGACCAUGUGAGGACAGACAGAGAAGCUUGGCCAUCUGCAAGUCCAGGAGAGAGACUCAGAACAAAUCAACCUGCUGACACCUUGAUCUUGGACUUCUGGCCUCCAGAACUGUGAGAAAACACAUUUCUGUUGGGUAAGCGGCCUGGCCUGUGGUCCUUUGUCAUGGCAGCCCUGGCAGACGAGUGCAGGCCGCACUUCCCACCGCCAUGGCGCCACUGUCUGUGGACAUCACACAGCCUCAUCAUACAGUCAUCCCUGAAUCCCCGAAGAUGCUCAAAUUAGCAGGCUGUUCUUAGAACCACAUUUCCUGGACAGGCUUAAGAAUACAUUCUCUCUGGUGAUACAGAUAUCUGAAAGACACACACACGCACGCACGCACACACACACACACACACACACACA